rfam:Camelus ferus unplaced genomic scaffold scaffold880, whole genome shotgun sequence.
UUUUUAGUAUAAGUGUGUCCCGUGCAAUAUUUGGGAUAUUCUUAUACUGAAA